GUCACGCCCGAAGUCGUUACCCCAACCCUUGUGGAGGGGGAUGCCUAAGGUAGGACUGGUGACUGGGGUGAAGUCGUAACAAGGUAGCCGUACCGGAAGGUGUGGCUGGAUCACCUCCUUUUAGGGAGACCUACCCACUCAAAUAUCGAAAACAAUCAGCGAUUAGAUAUUGAGUUGGUCAUCCUAAGGUCGGUCGCAGAUAGUAUUUAUGGCUUUCAAACUAUGAUUGGUUCGUUUAGGGGCUAUUAGCUCAGGUGGUUAGAGCGCACCCCUGAUAAGGGUGAGGUCCCUGGUUCGAGUCCAGGAUGGCCCACCUGAAUCAAUUAAAAAUCUAAAAUUAAGCAUUAAAAAGGCAGAAAGUCUUGAGUUUUUAAUUUUCGAUUUUUAGUUGUUGAUGGGGGUUUAGCUCAGUUGGUAGAGCGCCUGCUUUGCAAGCAGGAUGUCAGCGGUUCGAGUCCGCUAACCUCCACCUACCGUGGCAGUUGCCAAAGUAAAUAAACACAUCUAGAAAUAGUCCAAGAGUGUUGUGAUUUUUUUGUUGGCUACAUGACUAACAUGGUAGAAUAAGAGAUUGGGAAUCAACUCAGCAACCGGGCAAAUUAGCCGGACUGCUGGGAGAGAAGACCAGCCAGAACCUUGAAAACUGCAUAGUGACGCGAAAAAAAAUGCAGGCAGACACAGACACGAAAAUGUUAGUGAAUGCUGAAAAAGUGAAACACCAAAAAUGUUUGAGUGGUCAAGCUAAUAAGGGCUAACGGUGGAUACCUAGGCACACAGAGG
rnacentral:misc_RNA from 1 species